UACGAGAGGCCCAAACGUUAUUCGGAAUUACUGGGCUUAAAGAGUUCGUAGGCGGCAUUGCAAGUAGGGUGUGAAAGCCCUCGGCUCAACCGAGGAAUUGCGCUCUAAACUGCAGUGCUUGAGGAACCUAGAGGUGAGCAGAACAGAUGGUGGAGCGGUGAAAUGCGUUGAUAUCAUCUGGAAUACCGGAGGCGAAGGCGGCUCACUGGGAGUUUUCUGACGCUGAGGAACGAAGGCCAGGGUAGCGAACGGG
rnacentral:rRNA from 1 species